AUACUUAUCUGGCAGGGGAGAUACCAUGAUCAGUAAGGUGGUUCUCCCAGGAUGAGGCUAUCCCAUUGCUCUUCGGGUGUACUGACACCUGUGAUGUCCCCAGGCCCCAAAUGCAGGAUACUUGACCGCAAAAUUUGUGAUGGUGGGAGACUGCAUUCGCACUCUCUUU